GUUCCAGGUGUUAGCAGGGGCUAAGCCACCAUCAGCACAAACUUCCCUUUCAGUGGCUGCCCAGGUGUGCCUACCACUGAACUGCGACCUUGUGGGUUCCACUCAAGGAAUAUUGAGGAGAUAUCUGCCCUUACCCUUAAGGAUCAUAUAAUAUAGAGAAGAAAAAAGUGAAGAUAACCUGAAUGGAGGUGCACCUCUUAACAGACUGGUCAAUCAAUCUAAGGAAUUCACCAUCCAGAGACAAACCCCAUAACUGUUUCUUCAACGCUUCCUUUUGGCCAUGCCAGCAUUCCUGAAGGCUGAGCCCACCCACGUUACAACAGCUCCAGCUCACCCAUCGCCAUCGAUUCCUGUGCAACUAGACACCUUCCCUGGCCACCACCCAAUAGAGAAGUUGCUACAGGAAUCCCUUUAAUCAGAAGAUCUGAUUUGCCUGGCUACUCUUCGUGUGGUCCUUGGAGCAUCGCCAGCAGCAACAGCGCCACCUGGAGAUUUAUAAGAAAGGCAGUUGCUCAGGCUCACUUUGACCUAAGGAUGCAUAAUUCUGCAGUUUACCAGGAGCCUGGAGUGACUCCCACGCACAGGGAAGUAUGAGAAAGCGCAAUCCUCUCUGGGUGUAAGGAAGCACAUGUGUUAUUGCUCAGUGAAUAGAGCUUCCCAGCAUGUGUAAGGCCCUAGGCUCAAUCCCCAGCACGACUAACUGUAAAAGAUUUCUACGCCUCACCUUCCUACCCUUGUACAGUCGUUCCCAUGCAUUUUGCCCCUAUGAACAGUAUAAAAUCCAUAGUGUAU